rnacentral:lncRNA from 1 species
UUUGAAACACCAUGAAGUUCACCUACACUUUGUCCCUUCUGGUUUUGUGCCUAACUUUGUACUUAACCUUCACCAAUGCUGCAAAUUUCAACAUUAUAAACCAAUGUACCUACACAGUUUGGGCAGCUGCUUCCCCAGGCGGUGGCAGGCGGCUCGACCGAGGCCAAUCAUGGUCCCUAAACGUGGCUCCUGGCACCACCCACGCUCGCAUUUGGGGCCGAACCAAUUGCAACUUUGAUGCCAAUGGCCGAGGCCAAUGUCAAACAGGUGACUGCAACGGGGGCCUCGUAUGCCAAGGCUAUGGAAAGCCUCCGAAUACACUAGCUGAAUUCGCCCUAAACCGGCCUAACAACGUAGACUACAUCGACAUUUCCAACGUUGAUGGAUUCAACAUCCCAAUGGAGUUCAGCUCCGUUACUCGUUGCCGUAAUAUCAGAUGUUCAGCGCCUAUUGUUGAUCAAUGCCCAGCUAAGCUAAGAACUCCAGGUGGAUGCAACAAUCCCUGCACUGUCUUUAAAACAAAUGAGUUCUGUUGCACCAAUGGCCCAGGAAGCUGCCGCCCGACCGACUUCUCCAGGUUCUUUAAGAGCAGGUGCCCUGAUGCUUAUAGCUAUCCUCAAGAUGAUCCCACAAGCUUGUUUACUUGCCCAAGUGGUACAAAUUAUAGGGUUGUCUUCUGCCCUUAAAUAAAGCUAGAUAUUUAAGGUUCUUGUGACAGCUUAUAUGCUCCAAGAACUUCACUAGAAAAGUAGAUUAUGAGAAAUAAACGCAUAUGUGAACCUUCUGGUAAUGGUUCACUGGAAUUGGGAUAAAUUUGAGCACAUAUAGCAUUGUGCGGUUUGUCUUCUUUAUCAGCUUUUUGGCUUUAUAAACUACUUAUGAACUAGAUGACCAGUUCAAAACUAAUGAAGUUUUACUAAAUUAAUCAGUAAGAAGGAUUUACGGAUCUCUAGUUUUAAAUUAGAUUGUCAAAAUACUUUGUUCCCCACACUUCGAAAAUUUGAGUCAUGUUUAGGUUUAACUUACAUAGGAGAAUUCCUUUUUUUUUUUUUUUCUGAAAUUCAGACCAUCUCUCCAGUCAAAUACUAAGAUGUCAUAUAAAUCAAAUUAAUUUGUUUAAGUGUAUUACACAAUCAUACUUCAUGUAUAUAAAUGUUACCACAAAAUCAAGAGUAAGAAAAGUUUGUCUUGCAACUAUUCAAGAAAUGGAAGCUUGGUGUAAAUUCAAAACAAAAAUGGAGAUUUCUAUACUAAGGUAAACCCCAAAAUAAUUGAAAAUGAUAAUCUCAUGAAAUAACAAAGAUGGUGAGAUGAAAGAUUACUAAGUAAGAUAAAGGUGCGAUUAAGGCGUUCAAUCGAGGAAACUUGUAGAUGCCAAAUUGACAAUUUGAUGCACAUAUGCUUAAUAGUAUUCAAGUGUUCAUUCUUAAAAGUUGGAAUUGGGCCAAUAUUGUAAUUCAGCCCGGUUGUAUAUUUAUUACAUUAUACUGUUAUAUUCAUGGAAACAGUGAUGUAAAUGAAUAAAACAUUUCAUCUACAGUGAAUAUAAUAUUAGGGUAAAUUAUUUAUAAUUCUUCUGUAAUUUUAUAUAAUGUCAGACGAUCUCCCAUAUGUUUCAAAAUAGUCACAUCACCCCCUAUGAUUUUAUGUAAAGCAGAGAAUAAAUAAAAAGUACUAUCAAUUACAAUGUGUAUACCAAACGUGCUCUAAAAAUAUGUGUCAUAAAAUCUUAGUUUUCAUGUAAUCCACUUAUGAGAUGUAUAAUUAUCCACUUUACCUCCUAUAAUUUUUGUAUUUAUCCAAAUAAUCCCCUAUGCUUUUAUAUAAGAUAGUUAAACUGUCAAUUGAUUUAGCAUUUAUACAAGGGCACUAUUAAUAUGUUAAUUAAUAGUCGUCCAAGCAACCAUCAAGACACAGCCAACAGAACAAGCUAUUAGCAACUCAAAUUUUAUCAAUCAUUACAUGUACUAGAGCUUAAUUGGCAAGGAAGAAGUGAAUUUACUUGGCUUUUAAUUCGUUCUUUAUCCUCGAAGCAGUCUUUGCAUAUCUACCAGAGGGAAUUUUGUCAAUGUAUUAACUGCAUUUCCCUGCUUCACUAAUGGUUAGAACAUAAAUAAAGCAAGGUGUUCUGGAACAACGUCAAAUCAAACAUAAAACCAAUUUAUGCAUGACAAGGGCAGAAAUUAAGGUCAAUACAUGCUGCUAAAUUUACUCCAUUACCAAGGACAACUUCACCGAUGAUCUUGGGAUUUGUAGUAGUUGUUGCGAUGGUGAACAACCAUGGUGCUGUACUUGUAAUCUGUCCUUGUACAAGACCAUUAUUUCCUGCCGAUUACAGUAAGUAUUCCCUUCUGUGCUGCAUGAAAAGAUCCAAUUGCUAUAGAAUUAUCUUUCAAUCAACCGGAUAAUUGAAACCAAUUAAAAUUGUAAUAAUGUCUACUCCAUCGGCUAUAGCAUCGUUGAAUCAAGCCAAUAUAUCAGCAUCAUCACAGCAUGGAAAAGCACAAGCAUUGUAUACAGCAUUCCUUGCUGCAGGCGCCCCUCCUCGUAUAGUACCUUCUACAAUUCCAUAGUAACUCACAUCCAUGACAAUGUUUCCUGCAGCUGUGUGCGUUCCAUUAUGACCCUAUAAAUCUGUUGCAGAAUCUGAUACAUGGUACCGAGCUCCAAUAAUUUUUCUGUAGACAUGUACACAUCAAAAUGAUAAUCGAAGUUUCCCAUUCAACAUUUCCUAUGUAAACUAACAAAAAGUAGAAACUUUUCCUGUUGCACAUGAAAUCAAUCCCGCCGUAACACACUCCUUUCCAUUUGCUGGGAAUAGGACCAAAACUUUGUUCACGAAAACUCUCUGAUUCUGGCCAAAUUCCAGAAUCAAGUAACUCCUAUGACUAUAUCACUCUCAAAUGCAAGAUUUCGGGGGGCACUUAUAGGAAAACAAAUAAAGUCGCACGAUGCUGUUGUAUAAGUUGAAGCCUUUUGCUUGGAAAUAUAGAAACCACAUGAUCAUGAGCUGCAAAUUUAGUUAAGAACUCACACAUUAGUGGAAGAUUAAUAGAUUUCAAAAAUCAGGAAAGUUGAAAGAGACUAACGUUGCAAAAUUGCACAGACCAGCCAACUUUUGCUGCUCUUGCUUUGUAAGGUAGGCUGAAAAUCCAUUGAAACUCCUAGUAUAACUUCUUCCCAAGAUUUCCCCUUGAUAAUUUCCAUGACAUAAAGAAAAAGAAAUAAAUAAUGUUAUAAAAAAGUUUUUUUUAUGCAUCAAUUGGUAUGUAGUAUAAGUUUGUGGGCACUGAAUAUAUGCAUUAAUUGCUAUCUUAAGCUUCUUCCAGGAUACUAACAUGGUGCUCGGAAGCUGAAUAUUCUCUUUCAGGAUGCGAUUCCACGUAAACUGUAAACCUGUCAUCAAGUAAAAGAAAACUAUCAUUUCUUGACUUGCUGCAUGUUAUUGAAUUUGAACGCUUCAGUUAUGCGACAGUUAUAUUUAUCGUGUAAAAUGUUGUAGUUAUGAUCACUACAUUGAAGUACAAUGCUGCAAAUUCAAUAUAUUACCCGAUACGCAUUAAUCAAAGAAAAUUAAUCUUUUACAGAAAUGAAAAGAGAAGAUAUCAAUGGCACUAUUGCCAAUACUGAUGGGCAACAUAUCCAGUUCUAUAGGCAACAUUAGCCAUUGUUUUCAGGAAUUACAUUUUCUAGCUCCAACUAUAUAUUGUUACUUAUGUUCCUUAAUGUAUGUUAAUCUCUAUUAGUACAUUUUUUCAGACCUAAAAGAUUUCUGGGUCGUACAAUACGAAAUCAAAAGGUGAUGUGUACAAAUGGUCCUUAGAAAGGGUAAGCCUGUCUCUUAGGACUUAAAUACAAGGAUCAAAGAUGCAUGUCCCAUUUUGUGCAUAAUUAAUAUCAAAAACCAACCUGAUUUGUUUAGAAAAGUUUGUUAAAACAAUGCAACAUUACCUUUAGUCAAAAAUCGUGGGCUAUUGUUGCAUUUAUGAGUUACAUAAAAGUCAUCCAUACAGGCAGAAGAAAUCCAGCAUUUCUUGCGGCUUUGGAGUGCUUCGUUUUUACUCAUGCUUGUAUCUUGAGCCAGAUUUGAUAUCUCAAGAAUGAGACUCUGAUAAGAUUAGAGUAAGUAUGCUCAAGAUUUGAAGCGAGGCUCAACUUAGUAAUGUUUUGUGCAAGAUUAUUUGUGAGUGUUGUUAUUUUAUACAUUUUUUUAGUGUAAUGUAUUAUUUGUUUGCCUUUAUUAUCAGUAGACUUAAUCCAUUAAUUUGGUAAAUCCACCACAAUCUAACAAAGCUCUGUUACUCGGGGAGUCCCAUGGACACAGUACCCGUACAAAAUAAAGAUUCCAACAUAGAUAUGGGAGGGCAAAAUAGAGAGUCUGAAAAACAUAAUAGAAAAGCUUGAGAAGGGAAGUGGAUAAUGGACCAAUGAGAACAAGAAAAUAAAACAAUUAAACCCUAAUAUUUAUUCUCAUCCACUUAUUGAGUAGAAGGAUCAUGUCAUGAAAUCAAAAGAUUAUGGAAUAACUUGUAACAAAAUAUUUUUCCCGUAAUGAUAUACUAUAUCCCAUAUGAUUGAAGAAAAAGAAAAAUGACUUGCCUGACUUUCUUCACCAGAAUGGUGCAUAAUAGGCUCAUUAGAAUUGCUAAUACAAAUAAGAAACAAAAUGCUAUAAACCCAAAAGAGUAGUACAGCGACCCUAAAACAUGCUUUAACUUUUCCUUAAAGUUGUGACUCAAAUAUUUAAGAUCACAACAAAGUUCUCAUUUCAAUUGUUCUAAAUGCAACAACGAGCUGCAUGCAUAUUGACUUGUCUUGCUACAUUGAUUAAUAGUUUUUAACGUUGGAAAGGAAACACAAAAAAUUUAAGCUAUAGUGAUGAUUGAGUAAUAUUUCUGAGAUCUGAAUUAAAAUGUGUAAUACCUUUCCUAUUUCGGAUGGUAUGAAUUAUGCGUUAUGUUUCUUGUAGGGAGAUGUAAGUUGGCCUACCUACCUUCCAUUUUUGCCUAUAAAAGAAAUUUUUUGUUCAAUAUAAUACUGGAACUAAUAAGAAUUAGAAAAGUAUUUCUAUUUCCAGUCAAAGAAAAUUGAGACGUCAAAACCAGAAACCUUAUUGUAACUUGAAUGUUUGUGAUGUCUUUUGUAAGCAUUAUUUUCCAUUCAGUUGGUACUAGCUUAAUUAUCUUUAGUAAGGUUCUAUUUGAUAAUUUAACUCAGCACUCAAACUUAAUGGGUUCAGAUCAUAAUAUGUUCAAACGCAUUUGAUAACUAAAAAUAAGACAUUUGAAUUAAUUAAGUGACACUGAAUUUUGCACAAUUUAUUUCAAAAAUAAGUGAUAAAUUAUUCAAGUAUCACUUAAUGUGAUAUACAUUUAAAUGUUUCAGAUUUAAUACUCAACAAUUCAGUAAAUUAACGAAUUUAGACUUUAGAUUUCAAAUUUCAUUUUUCAAACUUUAGUUUUAUCAAACGUACCCUAAGGGUGUGUUUGAUAAAACUGAAGUCUGAAUCUAUUAAAUUAUUGAAUUUUUAAGUAUUAAAUCUAAUACAUUUGACUGCAUAUCACAUUCAGUAAUAAGUGAAUAGCUUAUCACUUAAUUUUGGGAGCAAAUUUUGCCUAGAAAAUUUAAUACUAUUUAAUUAAUUCAGAUGUUAAAUUUUUUAUUAUCAAAUGGUCUGAAUAUAUUAAAAAUUGAAUCCAUUAAGUUUAAAUGCUGAAUUGGAUUAUCAAACAGAAUCUAAGUCUAUUAAGGGGAUUGAACCAAUAAAUUUGAUGAGUUUCAGUUUAACAAUAUAUUUAACAAAUUAUCACUGCCCAAUAAGGGCCCAUCUAAAAACACUUGAAACAAGUGCAUGCUUGUUUGGUGAUUUCCGGCUGGGCUCCCGCUGCUCUUGCAGUGUCCAUUAACGAAUUCCUAUUGUCAAUUUUGGGUCGUAUAUCCACCAGCCCAUGGAAUUUAUUUACAAAGGGAAAUCCUUUUAAGUUGUGAAUUUAAUUAGUAUAACGAGAAAUAAUUUGAGAAAAUUACAACAAAGUACAAACCAUAUGUGCAAGUUUUCUCAAACACAUACCAAUUAUGAAUAGCUUAAGAAAUGAUGAAUAAAUCAUCUUUUUCAGCUUUUCUUUUUGGCCCAUUGUUAAAUCUUCUUUGUUCCCUCAACAAAAAAAAAAAGAAGAAAGAAAUAAACUUCAUCUUUUUAAUUAGUGAAUAAAAUGUAUAUGAAGAGAAAAAGAUAAUUAAAUAUCUUAAUACUAAAACAUAAUGCUACUUAAGAAGUUUCAAAAAUUUUGGUAUCAGUUAGUGAUAAUAAUUUCUCCUAACGCAUUCUUUUAUCUACUACAAAAAAAAAACGUUAUAACUUAUUAUAAAAACCAUCCAAAAUCACAUUGAUUCUUAAGUAUUCCCCUUUCUCCUUGUAAGGGAUGAAUUGCAUCCAAAUCAGGUUCCUUACAAGUGGCUAGCACCCUAAUGGCCUAAUCCAUGGAAGCCAUAUUACAAAAGUGGACUACAAAAGCUAGGGGAAUAUAAUUUCCCAUACUUCUUAUUGUAAUCAUUCCCAAUUUACCUUGGCAUAUACUGGUUUGUUACAAGACUUCAAUCGCUAGCUCUGAACCUCUGGCUAGUAUGUAAUGGCAGAUUAUCUACUAGGAUCAGAGGCAGUUACUAGAUUGGAAAUCAAUACCAGACUAGUAGUGCCCUUUAUCUUGUUGCUUUUGUAUCAUUGGGUUCUUGAAAACAAAAGGCUAGAGAAUCACACCGGGCACAAGUUGCAGUAAAUGAAUUUUGAUUGAACAUGAAUUUAGCAUUUUACCCACCUCAAAUGCUAUUCUGGAAAGUUGCCAAAACUGAAGUUUAAGCUCAAAAAACUGCUUGAACACUGCCCCAAACAGGGCCUUUUUUUUUUUUUUUUUUUUUUUUUUAAAAACUACUUGAGUAAGUUCUACGAAAUCCAGGACUAGAAACUCUUGUUCCACUUGAUACGCUGAUUGUCUUGAUGCCAUUUGCCUAACUUCUGAGUGGAUCGGGACUGGAGAAGGAAGACAAACGCAUGUGUGGCCUUCAUUUAUGCCCCGUCUGCUGCUUCAGAAUCUAGUUGCAGUUCCCGUCUAAGAGGAAGAAUCUAAAGGACAAAGAAACAAGCAGAAGACUUUAGUAGUCAUGAAAUUAUCAUUAGUCUCCUCAGGGCUGGAAUUUGAAAAAAACCCUGAAUACUAACAUGUUGAUAUUGGCUACCCAGAACAGAAAGUUAUCGCUAAAAUAAUUACAAGCUAAUACCAUCAUUUCUAAUUUUGAACUUACGUUUCAGUGUAUCUAAUCCUUAUUAAUUUGUAUAAUUGCUAAUUCUUUCUACUAAUUAAGUCAAAAGAGAAUUGUUUUGAAUGAUCUUUUUUCUUUUUCGAAAAUUGUAAUAUAAUAUUUUGAUCAUAAGCGCAUUUGAGAUUUUCAAAGAUGUUAGAUAGUGAUUCUUGAAAACAACGAAAAACUCCACCCAAACAGAUAAGCCAUGUCUGUAUCUUUUUUCUAUCUUUCUUAGAGGUAAUCCACGAAUUGGACACUAACUAAGAAAACAUCAUAACAUUGACAUAUUAGAACACUGAAGUUCACAUUACCAGAAGAAUAAAAAAUGAGGGAUGAGAACUGACUGAAAUUAUGCAGGAGGAUUAUUGAGAGAGAAGCAUCUUCGAAUCAUUCCUAGAAUACAAGACAAGACCAUCAACAUCUCUGAAAUUUCUCAUGUAGAAAAUUUGUUAAGAAGAUUAACAUGUACGCGCAAAAUGAUAGCAGCCAAUCGCCCUAUAUAAACCCCCAAGCUGUGGCAUCUUGAAACCACAACCAGCUACCAGUUCACUUAGAAUUUUUGAAACACCAUGAAGUUCACCUACAUUUUGUCCCUUUUGGUUUUGUGCCUAACUUUAUACUUCACUUUCGCCAAUGCUGCAAAUUUCAACAUCACAAACAAAUGUACCUACACAGUUUGGGCAGCUGCUUCCACAGGUGAUGGCAGGCAACUCGACCGAGGCCAAUCAUGGUCCCUAGAUGUGGCUCCUGGCACCACCAAAGCUCGCAUUUGGGGCCGAACCAAUUGCAAAUUUGAUGCCAAUGGCCAGGGCCAAUGUCAAACAGGUGACUGCAACAAGCGCCUCAAAUGCCAAGGCUAUGGAAAUCCACCAAAUACGCUAGCUGAAUUUGCCCUAAACCAGCCUAACAACUUAGACUACAUCGACAUCUCCAACGUUGAUGGAUUCAACAUCCCAAUGGAGUUCAGCUCUGUAACUCCGUGCCGCGUUAUCAAAUGUUCGAAACCUAUUGUUGAUCAAUGCCCAGCUCAGCUAAGAACUCCAGGUGGAUGCAACAACCCCUGCACUGUUUUUAAAAGAAAUGAGUACUGCUGCACCAAUGGCCCAGGAAGCUGUGGCCCGACCGACUUCUCCAGGUUCUUUAAGAGCAGGUGCCCUGAUGCUUAUAGCUAUCCUCAAGAUGAUCGCACAAGCUUGUUUGCUUGCCCAAGUGGUACAAAUUAUAGGGUUGUCUUCUGCCCUUAAAUAAAGCUAGAUAUUUAAGGUUCUUGUGACAGCUUAUAUGCUCCAAGAACUUCACCAGAAAAGUAGAUUAUGAGAAAUAAACGCAUAUGUGAACCUUGUGGUAAUGGUUCACUGGAAUUGGGAUAAGUUUGAGCACAUAUAGCAUUGUGCGAUUUGUCUUCUUUAUCAGCAUUUUGGCUCUUUAAACAACUUAUGAACUAGAUCACCAGUUCAAAACUAAUGAAGUUUUACUAAAUUAAUCUGUAAGAAGGAUUUACAGAUCUCUAGUUUUAAAUUAGAUUGUCAAAAUACUUUGUUCCCCGCACUUCAAAAAUUUGAGUCAUAUUUAGGUUUAACUUACACAGGAGAAUUCCUUUUUUUUGGAAUUCAGACUAUCUCUCCAGUCAAAUACUAAGGUGUCAUAUAAAUCAAAAUAAUUUGUUUUAGUGUAUUACAUAAUGUUACCACGAAAUCCAGAGUAAGAGAAGUUUGUCUUACAAACAUUGAAGAAAUGGGAUGUUGGUGUAAAUUCAAAACAAAAAUGGGGAUUUCCAUGCUAAGGUAGACCCCAAAACAAUUGAAAAUGAUAAUCUCAUGAAAUAACAAAGAUGGUGAUAUGAAAGUUUACUAAGUAAGAUAAAGGUGCAAUUAAGGAGCUCAAGUGAUGUGGAAACUCGUAGAUGCCAAAUUGAUAAUUUGAUGCACUCAUGCUAAAUAGUACUAAUUCACUCUUAAAAGCUGGAAUUGGAGCCACUGCUAGAAGUUCCAUGAAGUUCAGUUCAAUUGUUAUAUUUAUUACGUAAUAUUAUUAUGCUUUUGGAAAAAGUAAUAUACAUGAACGAAAAUACUUGGUAUGUAGUGAAUACAACAUUAUAAUGUAGUUGUCUACCAAAAAUUUAAAUACACACAAUAAAAUAAUGCAUAUCUAUUCAAAUUAUGUAUCAGAAAAGAGUUAAAUAUUGCUCUAAGGAUAAAAAAUUAAGUGAUUAUAUAAUUGUUUUGAACGCUAUUUUUAGGAAAAUCAUUAUAUAGCAUCUUAGUGAUAACUGCUUUUGUGAUAUUAAAAGAUGUUAGAAAUAAUUCCUGAAAUUAAUCUGGUUAAAAAACGCUCCAUUCAAACAGAAAAUUCAUGUCCUUUUUUUUCUUUUUUGGUCUUUCGUAGAGGUAAUCCACAAAUUGGACACUUACGAAAAAGCAUUGGAACAUUGAUUGAAAGAACAACGAGGGAUGAGAACUGACUGAAAUUAUGCAGGAGGAUUAUGGACAGAUCCGCAUCUUUUGAAUCAUUCCUAGGAUACAAAACAAGACCAUCAACAUCCCUAAAAUUUCUAUGUAGAAAUUUGUUGAAAUAUCAACACUUCCAUGCAAAAUCAUAGCAACCAAUUCACCUAUAUAAACCCCCUGGCUGUGGCAUCUCCAAACCACAACAGCUACCAGUUGAAUUGGAAGGUUUUGAAGCACCAUGAAUUUCACCUACACUUUGUCACUUUUGGUUUUGUGCCUAGCUUUAUACUUAACCUUCACCAAUAGCUGCAAAUUUCAACAUUAACAAAAUAAACACAUAAAACAAUUAAACCUUUACCAUGUAUUCUCUUUUACUUAUUGAUCGGUCACAUCAUGAAAUACAAAAGGAUUAUAGAAUUACUUACUUAUAUAAAUAUAUUCCAGGGUAAUGUUAUCUAUUCCAUAUGAUUGAUGAAAAGCGAAAAUGACUUGCCUGUCUUUCUUCGUCAGAAGAGUACCUAAUAGCCGCACUAGAAUUGCCAGCACAAAUAAGAAAUAAAAUGCUGUAAAACCAAAAAGAGCAGUGCAGCCACUGUUGGCUUCUAAAUAUCAGCAUAGUGAUUGUUAUGGCUACAACAACUAACCACCCGAAAACAUGUUUUAACUUUUCCUUAAAGUUGUGACUUAAAUGUUCAACAUCUUAAUGUAAGAGGAAGGAUUCAAUUCCCAGACCUCUUACUUGCACUCCCUCCCCUUUAAACUAUUCAACUCAUCUCAUCCCCGAGUUGUAUGUAUAUUGACUUGUCUUGUUAUAUUAAUUAAUAUCUUUUAACGUUGGAAAGGAAAUACAAAAAGUUUAAACUAUAGUGAUGAUUGACUAAUUUUUGUGAGAUCUGAAUUGCCAUGUGCAAUACCUUGAAGGUGUAAAUUGACCUACCCACCUUCCAUCUUUUACUACUGCUGGGCAAUUAAAAUAAUUUUUCUUUGUUCAAUAUAAUAGUGGAAUUGGUAAGAAUUAGGAGAGUAUUUCUAUUUCUAGUCUAAGAAAAUUGAACAAAUUUGACAAAUUUCAGUUUAAAAAUAUUGACAAAUUAUCACUGCCCGAUACGGGCCCAGUCCAUCUAAAACACGCUUGAAGCACAGAGCAGAUUGAUUUGGUGGUUUCCGGUUGGGCUUCCGGUCCUUGAUCCGCGUCUAUUAACGAAUUCGUAUUGUCAAUAUUGGGCCGUAUAAUCCACCAGCCCAUGGAAUUUAAUUUAGGAAAAUAAAUUUCUUUUAAGUUGUGAAUUUAAUUAGUAGAACGAGAAACAAUUCAGAAAAUUAGUAUAAAGUACAAACCAUAUAGUACAUGUUUUUCUCAAUAAAAUACCAAUUAUGACUAGCUUAAGGAAUUGAUAAAUAAUUCAUCUUUGUUCAGCUUUUCCUUUUGGGUGAUUCCCAUUAAUAAAAUCAUCUUUGUUCUCUCAAAAAAAAAGAAAAGAAAAGAAAAGAAAGAAAGAAACGAACUCCAUCCUUUUAAGUGGUAAAUAAAAUGAAUAAAAAGAAAAAUGCAAAUAAAUAUCUUAACACUGCAAAAAAGAAAUUGAUAUUGAAACAUACUGAUAUUUAAGAAGUUUUUAUAAAUUUUGGCAUCACCUACAGAUAAAAUGAUAUCUCUGUAAUGUGCCUUUUAUUAACUAUAAAAAAAAAAUACGUUACAGAGGUUCCAGUGGCAGAGGUAGAAAUACUUUUCAGUUGGGGCACGAAUUAACUUUCCCAAUUUUUUUCCAAUUUACAAGUGGCUAAUAAUAACAAAAGAUUAUUUUUUUAAAGGAUCAAAUCUAAUAGACUGAUAAACCACCACUGCUUUGUUAAUGAAAAAUGCAAAGCUAUGGGCCAAGGUAAGGUAAAUAUGCAAGCAAAAGUACGUUGGAACUUGGCAUCUAAAGAUUUGCAGCUAUUUGCUUUCUUCUUUGUUUACGUUUUGAUAAAUUAUACAAUAAUGACUAUGCUAUAUAAUAACUAUUUCAAAAUCCAGCCAAGGCACAAUUUAGAAUUUUCAAGAAAUCUCAAAACUAUUCUAGGUACCUCAUUUGGGUCAAUAGGGAUAUGUGCCCCAUUGGCCACAACGUAAAUCUACCCUUUUUUUUAGUAAAAAAAGUUUGGGUGAAUUUGAUUUCGAUUAUCGUCACGGGUCAAAAUCUGUUUCCGGAACUAUAAGUCGCUUGCAGAAGUUCUUAUAAAUCACCCAACAACAGAGACCUCACAAUGUAAAUCCACUUAUAGGUUCUUAGUUCGACGAUCUGAAGCUUUCCUUUGCCAUAAUAAAGCAUGAACUACAUUCAAACUGCAUUCCUUACACUGGGCACAAGUAGCAGUAAAUGAAUUUUGAUUGAAUAUGAAUUUAGCAUUUUAGGCUUGUAGCAACCAGAAAUGCUAUUCUGGAAAGUUGCCAAAACUAAAGUUUAAGCACAAAAAACUGCUUGAACACUUCACGAAACUGCCCAAAUUGGGCUUUUAAUUUUUUUUCUCCAAUUACUUGAGUAACCUCUACGAAAUCCUGGAAUAGAAACUCUUGUUCUACUUGAUAUCCUGAUUGAAUUGUCUAAGCUUCUUGAAGCUAUUUGCCUAACAUUCGCUGGUCUCAGACUUGAGUAGGAAGACAAACAGACGUAUGGUCAUGAUUUGUGCCCAUUCGGCUGCACCAAAAUCUUGUUGAAACUCUAGACUAAGAGGAAGAUUCCAAAGAAAAAUAUCAAAACAGAAGACUUUAGGAGUUACGAAAUUGGCAUUUAGUCUCCUUGGGUGUGGAAUUUGAAAUCAUCAUCAAUACUAACAUGUUGAUAUUGACUACCUCACAACAGAAAGUUAUCGCGAAAAUAAUUAGAUGCUAAUACCAAACGUUUUAAUCUCUAACCAUCAUUUCUUAUGUUAAACAUAGGUUUUAGCGUAGCUAAUCAAUAUAUGUACAAUUGCUAAUUUUUUCCACUAAUUAAGUCAAAAGAUAAUUGUUUUGAAUGGUGUUUUUGCGAAAAUUCCAAUAAAAUAUUUUGUUAAUAAACACAUUUGAUAUUUUCAGAGAUGUUAGAUAGUGAUUCCUGAAAACAGUGAGGUUGAAAAAACAUUUCAACCAAACAGAUAAGUCAUGUCUGUUUCUUUUUUCUAUCUUAGAGAAUUGGACACUAAAGAAAAGAAAUUGUAACAUUGAUAUAUAGAACAGUCAAGUUCACAUCACCAGAAGAAUAAACAAUGGGGGAUGAGAUUAUGCAGAAUAUGGACGGAUAAGCAUCUUUGAAUCAUUCCUAGAAUACAAGAAAGGGCCAUCAACAUCUCUGAAAUUUCUCAUGUAGAAAAUUUGUUAAGAAGAUUAACAUGUACACGCAAAAUGAUAGCAGCCAAUCGCCCUAUAUAAACCCCCUACCUGUGGCAUCUUGAAACCACAGCCAGCUACUAAUUCACUUAGAAAGUUUGAAACACCAUGAAGUCCACCUACACUUUGUCCCUUUUGGCUUUAUGCCUAACUUUAUACUUAACCUUCACCAAUGCCGCAAAUUUCAACAUUAUAAACCAAUGUACCUACACAGUUUGGGCAGCUGCUUCCCCAGGCGGUGGCAGGCGGCUCGACCGAGGCCAAUCAUGGUCCCUAGACGUGGCUCCUGGCACCACCCAAGCUCGCAUUUGGGGCCGAACCAAUUGCAAC